rnacentral:rRNA from 1 species
GACGAACGCUGGCGGCGUGCUUAACACAUGCCAGUCGAACGGAAAGGCCCUGCUUUUGUGGGGUGCUCGAGUGGCGAACGGGUGUGUAACACGUGAGUAACCUGCCCUUGACUUUGGGAUAACUUCAGGAAACUGGGGCUAAUACCGGAUAGGAGCUCCUGCUGCAUGGUGGGGGUUGGAAAGUUUCGGCGGGUGGGGAUGGACUCGCGGCUUGUCAGCUUGUUGGUGGGGUAGUGGCUUACCAAGGCUUUGACGGGUAGCCGGCCUGAGAGGGUGACCGGCACCAUUGGGACUGGGAUACGGCCCAGACUCCUACGGGAGGCAGCAGUGGGGAUUAUUGCACAAUGGGCGGAAGCCUGAUGCAGCAACGCCGCGUGCGGGAUGACGGCCUUCGGGUUGUAAACCGCUUUCGCCUGUGACGAAGCGUGAGUGACGGUAAUGGGUAAAGAAGCACCGGCUAACUACGUG